AGCGAACGCUGGCGGCAGGCUUAACACAUGCAAGUCGAGCGGGCACUUCGGUGUCAGCGGCAGACGGGUGAGUAACACGUGGGAACGUACCCUUCGGUUCGGAAUAACGCUGGGAAACUAGCGCUAAUACCGGAUACGCCCUUUUGGGGAAAGGUUUACUGCCGAAGGAUCGGCCCGCGUCUGAUUAGCUAGUUGGUGGGGUAAUGGCCUACCAAGGCGACGAUCAGUAGCUGGUCUGAGAGGAUGAUCAGCCACACUGGGACUGAGACACGGCCCAGACUCCUACGGGAGGCAGCAGUGGGGAAUAUUGGACAAUGCGCGCAAGCCUGAUCCAGCCAUGCCGCGUGAGUGAUGAAGGCCUUAGGGUUGUAAAGCUCUUUUGUCCGGGACGAUAAUGACGGUACCGGAAGAAUAAGCCCCGGCUAACUUCGUG
rnacentral:rRNA from 1 species